GAACGCACAUUGCGCCCCUUGGUAUUCCGAGGGGCAUGCCUGUUCGAGCGUCAUUAUAACCAAUCCAGCCUGUCUGGGUCUUGGGCAUCGCCAUCCGGCGGGCCUUAAAAUCAGUGGCGGUGCUGCCAGGCUCUAAGCGUAGUAAAUACCUCGCUAUAGGGUCUUGGUGGAGGCUUGCCAACAACCCCCAACUUCUUAGGUUGACCUCGGAUCAGGUAGGGAUACCCGCUGAACUUA
rnacentral:misc_RNA from 1 species